rnacentral:rRNA from 1 species
CACAGUUAACCCCGGGAGCCCCCAAAAAUUUAUUGUGGUUUUUCCCCCCCUAAGCCCUCUCCCUAUACCCCCAUUGGAACCCUCAAAAUCUCGCAAUGAAUUUCAGGGACCCCCACGGGGGAACCUUGUGCCAAUUUUCCCACCAACCCUCCAAGGUUUUUCCAUCCUUUCCCUUAAAAAACAGGUUUCCCUGGGGCAGGGACAAGAGCAAAAUGGUCGUCACAAGUUCGUCGUAAAAUGGUUAAGUCCCGGAAAUCAUGCAACCCUUAUGUAAGUGCCAUCAAAGUUGGCCCUUGAGGAGAUUCCCGUGUUCAACCUGAGUAAGUUGGAUCACGUUAAAGUUCAGCCCGUAUAUCAUGUCUGCCGGUGCACAAUGGUCGAUCUGGCGUGCACCUCGCGAGAGGGAGUAAUCCGAUAAAUCCGUUCUCAUGUUCGAUUGUAGGCUGCUUUUCGCAUACAUGAACCUGAGUCAGCUAGUAAUUCGGAUCACAUGCCGGGUGAAUAGUUUCGGGCCUUGAACACUACCGCCCGUCACGCCACGAGAGUUUGAACACCCGAAGUCGGUGAGGUAACCUCAGUAUCCUCGUGUCUCCCGACUCAAU